CCUACGGGAGGCAGCAGUGGGGAAUAUUGCACAAUGGGCGCAAGCCUGAUGCAGCCAUGCCGCGUGUGUGAAGAAGGCCUUCGGGUUGUAAAGCACUUUCAGCGGGGAGGAAGGCGGUGAGGUUAAUAACCUCAUCGAUUGACGUUACCCGCAGAAGAAGCACCGGCUAGCUCCGUGCCAGCAGCCGCGGUAAUACGGAGGGUGCAAGCGUUAAUCGAAAUUACUGGGCGUAAAGCGCACGCAGGCGGUCUGUCAAGUCGGAUGUGAAAUCCCCGGGCUCAACCUGGGAACUGCAUUCGAAACUGGCAGGCUAGAGUCUUGUAGAGGGGGGUAGAAUUCCAGGUGUAGCGGUGAAAUGCGUAGAGAUCUGGAGGAAUACCGGUGGCGAAGGCGGCCCCCUGGACAAAGACUGACGCUCAGGUGCGAAAGCGUGGGGAGCAAACAGGAUUAGAUACCCCUGUAGUC
rnacentral:rRNA from 1 species